GAUGAACGCUGGCGGCGUGCUUAACACAUGCAAGUCGAACGAGAAAUGUAGACGGAAACCUUCGGGCGGAAGCCUUCAUUUCGAGUGGCGGACGGGUGAGUAACGCGUGGGUAACCUGCCUCAUACAGGGGGAUAACAGUUGGAAACGACUGUUAAUACCGCAUAAGACCACAGCAUCGCAUGAUGCGGGGGUAAAAACUCCGGUGGUAUGAGAUGGACCCGCGUUCGAUUAGCCAGUUGGCGGGGUAACGGCCCACCAAAGCGACGAUCGAUAGCCGAUCUGAGAGGAGGACCGGCCACAUUGGGACUGAGACACGGCCCAAACUCCUACGGGAGGCAGCAGUGGGGAAUAUUGCACAAGGGGGGAAACCCUGAUGCAGCGACGCCGCGUGAGUGAAGAAGUACUUCGGUAUGUAAAGCUCUAUAAGCAGGGAAGAAAAUGACGGUACCUGAGUAAGAAGCCCCGGCUAACUACGUG
rnacentral:rRNA from 1 species